rnacentral:rRNA from 1 species
CAGUAGCCGCGGUAAUACAGAGGGUGCAAGCGUUAAUUGGAAUUACUGGGCGUAAAGCGCGCGUAGGUGGUUUGUUAAGUUGGAUGUGAAAUCCCCGGGCUCAACCUGGGAACUGCAUCCAAAACUGGCAAGCUAGAGUAUGGUAGAGGGUGGUGGAAUUUCCUGUGUAGCGGUGAAAUGCGUAGAUAUAGGAAGGAACACCAGUGGCGAAGGCGACCACCUGGACUGAUACUGACACUGAGGUGCGAAAGCGUGGGGAGCAAACAGGAUUAGAUACCCCCGUAGUCCCUGUCUCUUAUAC